rnacentral:rRNA from 1 species
UACGUAGGGUCCGAGCGUUGUCCGGAAUUAUUGGGCGUAAAGGGCUCGUAGGCGGUCUGUCGCGUCGGGAGUGAAAACUCAGGGCUUAACCCUGAGCCUGCUUCCGAUACGGGCAGACUAGAGGUAUGCAGGGGAGAACGGAAUUCCUGGUGUAGCGGUGAAAUGCGCAGAUAUCAGGAGGAACACCGGUGGCGAAGGCGGUUUUCUGGGCAUUACCUGACGCUGAGGAGCGAAAGUGUGGGGAGCGAACAGG